GAUGAACGCUGGCGGCGUGCCUAAUACAUGCAAGUCGAGCGAACAGACGAGGAGCUUGCUCCUCUGACGUUAGCGGCGGACGGGUGAGUAACACGUGGAUAACCUACCUAUAAGACUGGGAUAACUUCGGGAAACCGGAGCUAAUACCGGAUAAUAUAUUGAACCGCAUGGUUCAAUAGUGAAAGACGGUUUUGCUGUCACUUAUAGAUGGAUCCGCGCCGCAUUAGCUAGUUGGUAAGGUAACGGCUUACCAAGGCAACGAUGCGUAGCCGACCUGAGAGGGUGAUCGGCCACACUGGAACUGAGACACGGUCCAGACUCCUACGGGAGGCAGCAGUAGGGAAUCUUCCGCAAUGGGCGAAAGCCUGACGGAGCAACGCCGCGUGAGUGAUGAGGGUCUUCGGAUCGUAAAACUCUGUUAUUAGGGAAGAACAAAUGUGUAAGUAACUAUGCACGUCUUGACGGUACCUGAUCAGAAAGCCACGGCUAACUACGUG
rnacentral:rRNA from 1 species